rnacentral:misc_RNA from 1 species
GAAAUCAUCAGAAGGAUUAGCCUGCAUCUCCUUCACCUCCUGAAGGAUCCUCUUCACCGCAGGGUUCUUCAGAUUGUACUUAUCCUCAGCCAUAGCUUCUCAAUUCAAUAGCAGAUCCGAUCUGGCUGCAACCACCACCCGAUCAAAGGACUACAAAUUAUCCGAUCGAAAAAGAAAAAGAAGCGAUCCCCGAAACCAGACGAAAGGAU